CCAAGAUGGCAACGCCCAUUGUGAAUAUGCAGAGAUUCUCUAACCAAUACUUAUGAAAGUUUAAAAUAAUAAAAGGGCUUUGAAGAGAGAUGCAGACACAGAAAAAAGCAUAACAUGGUCCCUGCAUCAAAGAAGGGCCUGUUUCUAAAAGACUCUACAGCUUGGAGUGAAAUCAUUGUGCAGACUUCACUAAGAGAAGGAGCAGAAACUGGACGUCCCUAAGAGAUGUGAGCACCUAGCGCUGAUAUAAAUUGUCAGUUAUAAGCAAAUACAAAUUAAACUAAAAUGUUCUUA